rnacentral:tRNA from 1 species
GCGCCGGUGGCGCGAAUGGAUAACGCGUCUGACUACGGAUCAGAAAUUCCAGGUUCAACUCCUGGUUGGCUCA